GACGAACGCUGGCGGCGCGCUUAACACAUGCAAGUCGAGCGAUGAAAUUUCGACAGAUCCCUUCGGGGUGAAGAUGAAAUGGUUUAGCGGCGGACGGGUGAGUAACACGUGAGUAACCUGCCUUUGACAUUGGGAUAGCCUCGGGAAACUGGGAUUAAUUCAAAAUGACACUAACUGAUCACAUGAUCAAUUAGUUAAAGAGAUUCGGUCAAAGAUGGACUCGCGGCCGAUUAGCUAGUUAGUGAGGUAACGGCCUACCAAAGCGAUGAUCAGUAGCCGGCAUGUGAGAGUGAGCGGACACACUUAAGCUGGGACGCGGUACGAACUCCUACGGGAGGCAGGAAUGGGGGAUAGUGCACAGUGGGGGAAACCCUGAUGCAGCGAGGCCGCGUGAGCGAUGUAGGCCUUCAGGUCGUAAAGCUCAUUUAUGUGUGAAGAUAAUGACGGUACCUCAAGAAAAAGCCCCGGCUAACUACGUG
rnacentral:rRNA from 1 species